rnacentral:misc_RNA from 1 species
GCGAACUUGUUUAACAACUCGGGGAGCGGCCUCCGGGCGGCUCCCUCCCUCCCCAUCUCGUGCUCCAAGUGCGUGUUGGGUGAGUAACGAACCCCGGYGCGGAAAGCCCCAAGGAAUACUAAAAUGAUAGCCAGCCUCCCGCGCCCCGUUCGCGGUGUGCUCGGGAGGACCUGUGCUUCUUUUGAAACUAAAACGACUCUCGACAACGGAUAUCUCGGCUCUCGCAUCGAUGAAGAACGUAGCGAAAUGCGAUACUUGGUGUGAAUUGCAGAAUCCCGUGAACCAUCGAGUCUUUGAACGCAAGUUGCGCCCGAAGCCAUUAGGCCGAGGGCACGUCUGCCUGGGCGUCACGCAUCGCUUCUCCCCCGCACACUUGUGGCGCGGGGGAUGGAAAUUGGCCUCCCGUGCGCCCUAAAGUGCGCGGUUGGCCUAAAUGCGAGGCCGCGUAGAUGGAAGUCACGGCACUUGGUGGUUGAAACUCAACUCUCGUAAUGUCUUGGCUCCUCCGUCUUGCGUUUGGGCUCCACGACCCUCUU